AUCAAGUUACUUUAUUUUGAUGAUAUUCUAAUAUUUUGUCAAAAUAAGUAUGUUUUUGAAGCACAAUGUUAAAGAGUUGAUUCCCUCGAAAUCAUCGUAUCCCACAUUCAUUUACAACAAAUAAAUGAAUGAAGAAGAAUCCAAGAAAAUGCACGACUGUGACUUCUUAUGCUGUCUCUGAAUUUUCCUAUGCUGCUUCUUGUCUCACAUAGGGAAAAAAACAAAAAUGGGGAUGCAAACUGGUUUUUUCCUGUUAUGCUUGCGCCAAGGAUCGUUUCCCUUGUUUUCAUCGGCAUUCCUGUCUCGGUCUAAUAAUAAAGCCAAAAGACGAAAAAGGUUAUAAAUACACAAACGAAAGUGCAUUACAUUCUUAGACAGUAACAAGCAAUCAGCAUAAAUGGAGCAAUUAAAUAUGGCAUUGACAAUGAUAAAGCGCGAUGAGAAUGCAAGAAGGCGUCAAAUGCGCAAUAUAGACAGUGAUCUGUCACCUGAACCAAGGAAUAUUAAGCGCAGAAGACAUGAAACGGCUUCUACUGCUGCUGCAAUCAGCUGUGAAGGUCGACUGAUCAAACAAGAAGUCGAUCCAACUGCUCCAACAACAGUGAAGAGAAGUUCAAGAUUCCGAGGUGUAAGCAAGCAUAAAUUGACAGGUCGAUAUGAAGCACACUUGUGGGACAAACUCUCGUGGAAUGUAACUCAGAAGAAAAAGGGAAAACAAGGUAACUUACUUGGUCUCGUUCGCCACUAUUUUCAGCUAUAUUUCUAAUCAAUGCUGGUGCCUGACAUGAAAUCUUCUGUUUUCUUCUAUGGACUGUACUCUGGACUGCAAAACUCUAAAUGAACAGUUUAUCUUGGUGAGUAUAAUUUUACCAAAAUGUGUACAUGUAUCAAAGUGAGAAUUGUUAAGACAAGUGCAUUGAUUUAUUAAUUUUUCUCAGGGGCAUUUGAUGAAGAAGAAGCUGCAGCGAGAGCAUAUGAUUUAGCUGCACUCAAGUAUUGGGGGACAUCGACAUUUACCAAUUUUCCUGUAUGAUUAUCAACUGGGAUAUGCUCAUAUCGAACUCUGUUAAUGCGAAAUGCAACCUCCAGACUAAUGAAUUCACUGAUAUUUUCUGCAGAUAUCUGAUUACGAGAAGGAAAUUGAAAUAAUGCAGACUGUCACGAAAGAAGAGUACUUGGCCUCACUAAGAAGGUAAUAUUUCACUAUCUUAUUUGACAUAAUUAAGGAUUUCGAGCAAUAAAUGGAUGCAAACUAAAUAUAUUUUCUUUACUGCAGAAAAAGCAGUGGAUUUUCAAGAGGGAUAUCAAAGUACAGAGGAGUUGCCAGGUAUAAUAUGAGUACUACAUAAGAAAUUAAUUUCAUUAUUGAAGAUUUUGGGGAAUUACGCUAAACACAUCAAUGGCAAAAAAAUGCAGACAUCAUCACAAUGGAAGGUGGGAAGCUAGGAUAGGAAGAGUUUACGGAAAUAAGUACCUCUACCUUGGAACUUACAGUAAGUCACGGCAAAAAUAAUGCCUCAGAUAAUUCAUAGUAAAACAGAAGGAAAAUUUUUUAUUGCCA
rnacentral:lncRNA from 1 species